rnacentral:rRNA from 1 species
GAUGAACGCUAGCGGCAGGCUUAAUACAUGCACGUCGAGGGGCAGCAUGAUUGUAGCAAUACAAUUGAUGGCGACCGGCAAACGGGUGCGGAACACGUACACAACCUUCCAAUAAGUGGGGAAUAGCCCAGAGAAAUUUGGAUUAAUACCCCGUAACAUAACGAUGUGGCAUCACAUUGUUAUUAUAGAUUUUUCGCUUAUUGAUGGGUGUGCGGCUGAUUAGAUAGUUGGCGGGGUAACGGCCCACCAAGUCUACGAUCAGUAGCUGAUGUGAGAGCAUGAUCAGCCACACGGGCACUGAGACACGGGCCCGACUCCUACGGGAGGCAGCAGUAAGGAAUAUUGGACAAUGGACGCAAGUCUGAUCCAGCCAUGCCGCGUGAAGGAUUAAGGUCCUCUGGAUUGUAAACUUCUUUUAUAAGGGACGAAAAAAGGCUUUUCUAAGUCGUCUGACGGUACCUUAUGAAUAAGCACCGGCUAACUCCGUGCCAGCAGCCGCCGUAAAAC